GGCUCAGGAUGAACGCUAGCGGCAGGCCUAAUACAUGCAAGUCGAACGAUAGAUAAGGGCUUGCUCUUAUCGAAAGUGGCGCACGGGUGCGUAACGCGUAUGCAACCUACCUUUAUCUGGGGGAUAGCCCGGAGAAAUCCGGAUUAAUACCGCAUAAAAUCACAGGAUUGCAUAAUCCAAUGAUCAAACAUUUAUGGGAUGAAGAUGGGCAUGCGUGUCAUUAGCUAGUUGGCGGGGUAACGGCCCACCAAGGCGACGAUGACUAGGGGAUCUGAGAGGAUGGCCCCCCACACUGGUACUGAGACACGGACCAGACUCCUACGGGAGGCAGCAGUAAGGAAUAUUGGUCAAUGGAGGCAACUCUGAACCAGCCAUGCCGCGUGCAGGAAGACUGCCCUAUGGGUUGUAAACUGCUUUUAUCCGGGAAUAAACCUUUCUACGUGUAGGAAGC
rnacentral:rRNA from 1 species